AAAACCCUAAAAAUAUGGCAUCACGUUGCAUACUCGAGCGCGAGUGCUCGAGCGUCGCGCGCCAAUUUUUCGCGCAUCACCGUCGCGCAGCGUCGUGCACUCUUCCAUCCUUCAUUCUCGAGCUUUCUUGUUUUUUCGCACCGCGUUUUACAGGUCGUUAGAUACCACGGAUCUCUUGAGAAAAUUACAGAAACCCACGUGGCAAGAAAAGUGGAUAUUUGGAAGAGGUUGAGCAGCUGACAGUCAACUGUGUAUUCGAAACAUACAACAUACGUUUUAGAAAAUGACACGUAAAAGGAAAAGUAACGACUGCUAUUCAGAUAGACAUAAACGUCGUCUCGUUGAACAACAAACUAAAUUAAGUAUUAUUAGAAUGAAGCACGUUAAGCACAUAUAGUACGAAAUGUAAAGUCGUGAUCCAAACGCUUUUUUUAAAAUAUACAUGAAAAUAAGUAUAGUUUUUUC